rnacentral:tRNA from 1 species
UCGUCGCUCGUAUCCGGCCGGGUUCCAGGCGGCUCAUGAUGCCGCCGGGAGAGCGCGUCAGCGGUGAAGCGCGGCCGUUCGGUACUGUCGGCGGCGAU